GCAUGUGUAAGUAUGAACUAAUUCAGAUUGUAAAAUUGUGAAUGACUUAUUAAAUCUGUUAUAGUUUGUUUGAUAGUAUUUGCUAUUCAGAUAACUGUAGUAAUUCUAGAGCUAAUACGUGCAACAAACCCUGGCUUUUGAAAGGGAUGCAUUUAUUAGAUAACUCCAUGCUAGCUCUGCCUAAUGCUCUGAUGAUUUAUGAUAACUCAAUAGAUCACAUGACCAUUAUACCCGGCGAUGCAUUCAAAUUUCUGCCCUAUCAACUUUUAAUGGUAGGAUAGAAGCCUACUGUAACAAUGUUAAACGUGCACGAGGUGCACACUUCGGCAGGCUGUCCAAAACAGGGCCUAAGGGUGCUGGCAGC
rfam:Populus trichocarpa scaffold_17_contig_430, whole genome shotgun sequence.